rnacentral:RNase_P_RNA from 1 species
AAGCUAUGCGAUAGCGUGAACGCUUUAUGGUCACGAGGAAAGUCCGGGCAUCACAGAGCGGGGCAGCUGCUAACGGCAGCCGAGGGCGACCUUAGGGCUAGUGCAGCAGAAACAGACUGCCGUCUUUUGACGGUGAUGGUGGAAAGGCGAGGUAAGAGCUCACCGGCGUACAGGCGACUGUGCGGCCAUGUAAACCCUGUCCGAUGCAACGUCUAUUGGUACAGUACGUCAAUGUCUGCUCGGCAGGCGUGCUGUAAUGACGGCUUGAACUCCUGCGGCAACGAGGAGUCUGGAUAGAUUAUCGCACACGACAGAACCCGGCUUAUCGGCUUAGUC